ACGAUGUUUCGACCGUUUGGUCUCUAAAACCCAGAAAAUAACACCGACUUAGAGAGAAAAUCCUCAAUUAUAAGAACUCUAUUCUCUGCCUUAAGACGCAACGGUCUAAUUUUGUUUCUCAAAAUUCAAACAAAGAUUUUCUGAUUUUUUGUUUCUCUCUGCAACGAUCGACCUAGAAGAUCGUCGCUGAAGCAAAAGACGGAGAAGGAGGAACUCGAAAAUUCAUAUAGAAGGAGCCAAAUCGCGAAGGAAUUGAAGCCUGACAUGUUCGUAAGUUGAAAUUCAAACAAGUUUGCUUCUGAUAUUAUGCUUUUCUUCUGGAACUAUCAUCUAGAAGAUGACGGAACUCUGCGUCGAUGAAAGGAUUGACUCAAGGAGGAGGAACUCGAAACGCAUAAGAUUGGGGUAAAAAAAAAAACCUGCAAAUCAUGAAGAAUUUCAUGUUCGUAAGUGUUACUAGGGUCUUUGUGAUUCUUAAUUUUGUUAUAUUUCAAGGAGAUUGUUAAUUCUUAUAUCUUUUGGUUGAUCACUGGCACAAUUGUAUCUUUGUUUGUCGAGGUUUUUGAUUCAAUUUAAGGUUUGAUGAUCGACAAGGAAAAGACGGAGGAUGGACUCAAGGAGGAGGAAUUGGGAACGCUUGUGGUGGAGCGAAUCCUUAAGAAUUUCAAACCUAACAUGUUCGUAUAAGUUACUUACAUGUAAAUAAUUUCUGCGUUUUCGACUAGCCGGUAUUUUCAGCUCCUCUGUUGAUAACUGGAAAGAUUAUAUUAAGACAUAAUAUAUUGACUAUGCCAGCAUGUUUUAGCUAAUUCUUGGUGUUCGCUUGUAAGACUUUUUAUAUAAGUAAGAUUGAGACCUAGUUGGGUCCCUAUGAUUUUAUCUUCUGUUUGGAUACCAAUCUUAUAAGGAGCAAGAUGUUGCAAAUUUUCAUAUUUUUGAAUGUGCUGCAGUUUUACUCUUUAGUUAUUGGGGGAUGCUGUUAGUAUUGUAUUUUAUUGUGAUGAAUUGUUGCCUCUCGACUUUUGAGGAGGAUCAAGAAGCAGCAGUUCGUCUAGCGAGCACAGCAAAAUUCGUUGAAGGGAAGACCAGUGCAGGCCCGUAUAUUUGAGGGUAAAGAACCUCCACAAGUUGUUGCAAUUUUUCAACAUAUGGUGGUCCUUAAGGUAUUUCUUUUGAUUGUUAUUGAUUAUUGAUGCAAGGCAAUAUAUUGGUAAUUGAUACUUUUUGGGUCGUUUGAGCUCUGGUUACAAAAAUAAGAUGACAGAGAAAGGUUCAUUAGACGAAACCAACACGCUGGAAUCAACUGCAUUUAUUUAUUCAGGUAUCUGGAACUAGCUGAAGUUCACAAUAACAAGGCUCUACAAGUUGAAGCGUUUGUAUCAAGAAAGACGCAUUUUACACCUGGGAAUCUGGGAUCAUCUUUUUUCUUGCUAACUCAGCAUGGGAUUAAUGUCAAGCACGCAAAAGAGGCAACCAACAUUAGUUCAUGAUGAAGAAAGGCUGUGUUCUUACUCCUCACGCAAAUUACAGUCUCCCUGGCAUAACCAGAGCAAUUGUAAGAAAGAGACAUUCUUUUCUAUUAUUUUCUUUCACGGUCAUGGCGAAACAGAACUUCAUCUUAGAAGAAAGAAGAAUCAGUCUCUCCGAAUUCCAUACAGUUGAUGAGGUUCUUUCAGGUAUGGACAACAUGAACUAUAGCAGAACUAAGCCCGGUUGUGAAAAUUGAUGGGCGUGUGAUUGGUGACGGAUAAGUUGGACCGGUAAUGUGAACACUGCAAAACGCUUACGAGAAACUGAUAGAGGAUUCAGGUAUGCCAAUACCUACUUACCAAGAAACCUGAAAUACAGAACCAGAGGUGAUGAUUCUUGAUUGUUUCGUCACUCCAACCUAGCUAGAAAUCAAGAAGUCCGUUGAUGAGAUUUUGCACUUCUUGUGAUUGUAAUUUUCGUUAAGUCUUACCCUUUUUUGGGAGUCUUUCACUUACUAGGCUUUGAUGUACCUAUAGCUUUUCCUGCUCUUUG